GAUGAACGCUAGCGAUAGGCUUAACACAUGCAAGUCGAGGGGCAGCAUGAUUGGUAGCAAUACCAUUUGAUGGCGACCGGCGCACGGGUGCGUAACACGUAUGCAACCUACCUUAUACAGGGGGAUAGCCCAUGGAAACGUGGAUUAAUACCCCAUAGUACUUUAUAUUCGCAUGAAUGUAGGGUUAAAGUCUUUGGAUGGUAUAAGAUGGGCAUGCGUCCCAUUAGAUAGUUGGAGAGGUAACGGCUCCCCAAGUCAAUGAUGGGUAGGGGUUCUGAGAGGAAGGUCCCCCACACUGGAACUGAGACACGGUCCAGACUCCUACGGGAGGCAGCAGUGAGGAAUAUUGGUCAAUGGGCGAGAGCCUGAACCAGCCAAGUCGCGUGAAGGAUGACUGCCCUAUGGGUUGUAAACUUCUUUUAUACGGGAAUAAAAAAGGGUAUGUAUACCCUAUUGCAUGUACCGUUAUGAAUAAGCAUCGGCUAACUCCGUGCCAGCAGCCGCGGUAAGAC
rnacentral:rRNA from 1 species